GUCAGAAUUUGCGGUUCGUAGUGUUGCAAUUACUAAAUAACGGGAUAUGCUUUUAAGAGCUCACGUUAAAAAUACUUGAAGCUAAAUACUCGGAAUUUUCAAUUUUCCAAAAAAAAAAAAAAAAAAAAAAUUCUAAGAAAAAAGAUUAAGAGCUGUUCCGAGAUUCCGAUCGUGUUUUUCGCCAAACUCACUGUUGCUGUUCCUGUUUUGUUGUCAACUGCUCAUCAGCUAACACGCCAUCAUUAAUCGCCGCCAGGCUUUGAGGUCACAUUUGUUUGUUUUCGAUUUCUGUUUUCGGGUGCGUCUACUUGGCAUCUCUGCGGCCCAACGAGUAGAUCGCUUCAUUCGUCUACAUCAUUACUCAUUUCUGACAUCUGGUAUUUGGCAUUCUUUUGGAAUAAUCAAAGAAAAAAAAAAGCAUACACAAAUCGUGAACAAGAACAACACCAAGUCAGCAAAAACAUGCGUUCACCGGCUUUAGCAUUUGUCAUGUGCGUCGCGUUGGCCAUGGCGAUUAUGACGCAGGCGGAACACAAUGCGCAUUGCAAGGAAUUGAAUCAAGUCAACUGCUACAUGGGUCAGAACGAGGGCUACUUCUGUAAUAAGAAUCAGCACACGGUCACACAGACGCGCUGGUUCUUCGAUAAGGGCGCUUGCAGAAAAUUCCAAUACAAGGGUUGCUAUGGCAACCGGAAUCGCUUUUGCACGAAGGAGGCUUGUGAACGCCGCUGUUUGAAUUAAGUGGCGAGUGGAUGGGUCAAUUUGAAUUCGAUGAUUGAAUUGGAGCAAGAGAACAAAAGCAAGAAGGAUGAGUGCGUGUGAAGUGGCGAGCAGACAAUUGCGUUGUGAACAGCGUUCAAAUGAGGUGGAACACAAAAAUCCGCAGUGCCAGAAAGCCUGGAAAUUUUAUAUUUUGUCAUUUAUGUAGAGUAAUAUUUGAACACUUCAAUUUAGCAAUAUUUUAGUAUGCAUGUCUGUAUGUAAAAUAACUUCUCUUAUAUAAGAUUUUGUAAAUAAUAUAUGUAGUUUUUAACUAAUACUUAAUGUGUACAUAGAUAUAUGGUAGCAUUAAUUAAACUAAAAAUAUAUGUGAAACGCAUUUAAUGGAUUGCAAA